rnacentral:sRNA from 1 species
UGUAUUUUAGAUGGACCAGUCUUACAAACCAGAUGAAAAUGAAGUUCGAACUCUCUUUGGUCUUCAUUUAAGCCAGAAGAGAAAUAAUGGUGUCGUCGACAAGUCAUUAUUUAGCAAUGUUGUUACCAAGAAUAAAGAUUUGCCAGAGUCUGCCCUCCGAGACCUCAUUGUAGCCACCAUUGCUGUCAAGUACACUCAGUCUAACUCUGUGUGCUACGCCAAGAACGGGCAGGUUAUCGGCAUUGGAGCAGGACAGCAGUCUCGUAUACACUGCACUCGCCUUGCAGGAGAUAAGGCAAACUAUUGGUGGCUUAGACACCAUCCACAAGUGCUUUCGAUGAAGUUUAAAACAGGAGUGAAGAGAGCAGAAAUCUCCAAUGCCAUCGAUCAGUACGUGACUGGAACCAUUGGCGAGGUGAAAGACUUGGCAUUGGGUUCUGGGCUGUGUUAAUAUUCAGUUCAUCCCUUUAUGUGUAACAGAUUUUAACUUCAUCACCACACAGAGAAAAAGAUACUUUCAUUGAAAUUCUAUGUUGUCUAAAAUUGAUCAUUGAAACUUCUUACACAUUUCUCAUGUUCUUCUGUCUCACGUAACUUUCUUCCUUGUUUUUGACCCCUUUCUGAAACCACAGACCUCUGUCUUUUUAAGUUGCAGCCUUGGUGUAGGUUUGCAUGUUUGUACUUCCCCUGUUGAUUAUAAGCUUUUGAUGACAA